AUGGGUGAGGGAGGUAUUGCUCUUGCUGAGGCCGUGCAAUCAGGGAGGUUCAGCACCUGAUAUAGCCGUAAAGGGUUGAAAGGGUUGAUUUUGCGGGCUAGGCAACUAAGGAAGCUCAACAUCUAAAAAAGUUGAUACAAGCUUCUUUCAUCAAAGUAGGAGAUAAGAUCGAUUUGUGUC